rnacentral:rRNA from 1 species
CGGGAUACUGGGGAUAAUUCCGGAUAACGCACAUAUGCUGGAAUGCUUUAUGCGUAAAAUGGAUUCGUCUGCCCAAGGAUGGGUCUGCGGCCUAUCAGGUAGUAGUGGGUGUAAUGUACCUACUACCUACAACGGGUACGGGUUGUGAGAUCAAGAGCCCGGAGAUGGAUUCUGAGACAUGAAUCCAGGCCCUACGGGGCGCAGCAGGCGCGAAAACUUUACAAUGCGGGAAACCGUGAUAAGGGGACACCGAGUGCCAGCAUCAUAUGCUGGCUGUCCAGGUGUGUAAAAUACACCUGUUAGCAAGGGCCGGGCAAGACCGGUGCCAGCCGCCGCGGUAACACCGGCGGCCCGAGUGGUGAUCGUGAUUAUUGGGUCUAAAGGGUCCGUAGCCGGUUUGGUCAGUCCUCCGGGAAAUCUGACGGCUCAACCGUUAGGCUUUCGGGGGAUACUGCCAGGCUUGGAACCGGGAGAGGUAAGAGGUACUACAGGGGUAGGAGUGAAAUCUUGUAAUCCCUGUGGGACCACCUGUGGCGAAGGCGUCUUACCAGAACGGGUUCGACGGUGAGGGACGAAAGCUGGGGGCACGAACCGGAUUAGAUACCCGGGUAGUCCCAGCCGUAAACGAUGCUCGCUAGGUGUCAGGCAUGGCGCGACCGUGUCUGGUGCCGCAGGGAAGCCGUGAAGCGAGCCACCUG